AGAGUUUGAUCCUGGCUCAGGACGAACGCUGGCGGCGUGCUUAACGCAUGCAAGUCGAACGGUAAGGCCCUUCGGGGUACACGAGUGGCGAACGGGUGAGUAACACGUGGGUAAUCUGCCCUGCACAUCGGGAUAAGCCUGGGAAACUGGGUCUAAUACCGAAUAGGACCACAGGACACAUGUCCUGUGGUGGAAAGCUUUUGCGGUGUGGGAUGGGCCCGCGGCCUAUCAGCUUGUUGGUGGGGUGAUGGCCUACCAAGGCGACGACGGGUAGCCGGCCUGAGAGGGUGUCCGGCCACACUGGGACUGAGAUACGGCCCAGACUCCUACGGGAGGCAGCAGUGGGGAAUAUUGCACAAUGGGCGAAAGCCUGAUGCAGCGACGCCGCGUGGGGGAUGACGGCCUUCGGGUUGUAAACCUCUUUCACCAUCGACGAAGGUCCGGGUUUUCUCGGGCUGACGGUAGGUGGAGAAGAAGCACCGGCCAACUACGUGCCAGCAGCCGCGGUAAUACGUAGGGUGCGAGCGUUGUCCGGGAUUACUGGGCGUAAAGAGCUCGUAGGUGGUUUGUCGCGUUGUUCGUGAAAUCUCACGGCUUAACUGUGAGCGUGCGGGCGAUACGGGCAGACUUGAGUACUGCAGGGGAGACUGGAAUUCCUGGUGUAGCGGUGGAAUGCGCAGAUAUCAGGAGGAACACCGGUGGCGAAGGCGGGUCUCUGGGCAGUAACUGACGCUGAGGAGCGAAAGCGUGGGGAGCGAACAGGAUUAGAUACCCUGGUAGUCC
rnacentral:rRNA from 1 species